rnacentral:rRNA from 1 species
GAUGAACGCUGGCGGCGUGCCUAAUACAUGCAAGUCGAGCGAACGGACGAGAAGCUUGCUUCUCUGAUGUUAGCGGCGGACGGGUGAGUAACACGUGGAUAACCUACCUAUAAGACUGGGAUAACUUCGGGAAACCGGAGCUAAUACCGGAUAAUAUUUUGAACCGCAUGGUUCAAAAGUGAAAGACGGUCUUGCUGUCACUUAUAGAUGGAUCCGCGCCGCAUUAGCUAGUUGGUAAGGUAACGGCUUACCAAGGCAACGAUGCAUAGCCGACCUGAGAGGGUGAUCGGCCACACUGGAACUGAGACACGGGCCAGACUCCUACGGGAGGCAGCAGUAGGGAAACUUCCGCAAUGGGCGAAAGCCUGACGGAGCAACGCCGCGUGAGUGAUGAAGGUCUUCGGAUCGUAAAACUCUGUUAUUAGGGAAGAACAUAUGUGUAAGUAACUGUGCACAUCUUGACGGUACCUAAUCAGAAAGCCACGGCUAACUACGUG